rnacentral:tRNA from 1 species
GAUUCAGUAGCUCAGCAGGUAGAGCACCUCCCUUUUAAGGAGGGGGUCCUGGGUUCGAGCCCCAGCUGGAUCACAA